UUUCAAAACUAGAAAAGCAAACUAAAAUAACAGGAGGGGAAAAUCGUCUAACAACAUUAAUGCGGCACCUUACUAUUUUCAAUUCUACAUAUACCGUUUAUGAACAAAUCAUGAUACCGAAUGCCAGCGUAUAUUAGAUUUAUGAUCACCUGCAACUGGAGAAAAAAAAUCCAACCAAAACUACAAUAUCUUUAAACUACAAAGCAAAAAACAAAAUCAAUACCAAUUCCCAAUCUUACAUUAUUCUCAUUAAAAUAUAACAAGCAACGAAAACAGAGUAUAAAUCAAGAAACAAGCGUACGCAAUCAAUCCACGAUGUUCCUCUCCUCCAUCAGCCAC
rnacentral:misc_RNA from 1 species